rnacentral:tRNA from 1 species
GGAGAGGUGCCAGAGUGGUUGAUCGGGGCGGUCUCGAAAACCGUUAUGGCUCUUUUGGGUCAUCCAGGGUUCGAAUCCCUGCCUCUCCGCCA